GACGAACGCUGGCGGCGUGCUUAACACACGCAAGUCGAACGGAAAGGCCCUUCGGGAUACUCGAGUGGCGAACGGGUGAGUAACACGUGGGUGAUCUGCCCUGCACUUUGGGAUAAGCCUGGGAAACUGGGUCUAAUACCGAAUAGGACCACGCGCUUCAUGGUGUGUGGUGGAAAGCUUUUGCGGUGUGGGAUGGGCCCGCGGCCUAUCAGCUUGUUGGUGGGGUAAUGGCCUACCAAGGCGACGACGGGUAGCCGGCCUGAGAGGGUGACCGGCCACACUGGGACUGAGAUACGGCCCAGACUCCUACGGGAGGCAGCAGUGGGGAAUAUUGCACAAUGGGCGCAAGCCUGAUGCAGCGACGCCGCGUGAGGGAUGACGGCCUUCGGGUUGUAAACCUCUUUCAAUAGGGACGAAGCGUGAGUGACGGUACCUAUAGAAGAAGCACCGGCCAACUACGUGCCAGCAGCCGCGGUAAUACGUAGGGUGCGAGCGUUGUCCGGAAUUACUGGGCGUAAAGGGCUCGUAGGUGGUUUGUCGCGUUGUUCGUGAAAACUCACAGCUUAACUGUGGGCGUGCGGGCGAUACGGGCAGACUAGAGUACUGCAGGGGAGACUGGAAUUCCUGGUGUAGCGGUGGAAUGCGCAGAUAUCAGGAGGAACACCGGUGGCGAAGGCGGGUCUCUGGGCAGUAACUGACGCUGAGGAGCGAAAGCGUGGGGAGCGAACAGGAUUAGAUACCCUGGUAGUCCACGCCGUAAACGGUGGGUACUAGGUGUGGGUUCCUUCCUUGGGAUCCGUGCCGUAGCUAACGCAUUAAGUACCCCGCCUGGGGAGUACGGCCGCAAGGCUAAAACUCAAAGGAAUUGACGGGGGCCCGCACAAGCGGCGGAGCAUGUGGAUUAAUUCGAUGCAACGCGAAGAACCUUACCUGGGUUUGACAUGCACAGGACGCCGGCAGAGAUGUCGGUUCCCUUGUGGCCUGUGUGCAGGUGGUGCAUGGCUGUCGUCAGCUCGUGUCGUGAGAUGUUGGGUUAAGUCCCGCAACGAGCGCAACCCUUGUCCUAUGUUGCCAGCGGGUUAUGCCGGGGACUCGUAGGAGACUGCCGGGGUCAACUCGGAGGAAGGUGGGGAUGACGUCAAGUCAUCAUGCCCCUUAUGUCCAGGGCUUCACACAUGCUACAAUGGCCGGUACAAAGGGCUGCGAUGCCGUGAGGUGGAGCGAAUCCUUUCAAAGCCGGUCUCAGUUCGGAUCGGGGUCUGCAACUCGACCCCGUGAAGUCGGAGUCGCUAGUAAUCGCAGAUCAGCAACGCUGCGGUGAAUACGUUCCCGGGCCU
rnacentral:rRNA from 1 species